rnacentral:rRNA from 1 species
UACGUAGGGUGCGAGCGUUAAUCGGAAUUACUGGGCGUAAAGCGUGCGCAGGCGGCGCGUUAAGACAGGUGUGAAAGCCCCGAGCUUAACUUGGGAAUUGCGCUUGUGACUGGCGAGCUGGAGUGUGGCAGAGGGAGGUGGAAUUCCACGUGUAGCAGUGAAAUGCGUAGAGAUGUGGAGGAACACCGAUGGCGAAGGCAGCCUCCUGGGCCAGCACUGACGCUGAGGAGCGAAAGCGUGGGGAGCGAACAGG